AUUGAACGCUGGCGGCAGGCUUAACACAUGCAAGUCGAGCGGAGCGGCGGACGGGUGAGUAAUGCCUAGGAAUCUGCCUGGUAGUGGGGUGUAACGUCCGGAAACAGGCACUAAUACCGCAUACUAUCAGAUGAGCAAAGGUAGGAUUAGCUAGUUGUGGGGUUAAAGUCCUACCAAGGACACGAUCCGUAACUGGUCUGAGAGUAUGAUCAGUCACACUGGAACUGAGACACGGUCAAGCCUCCUACGGGAGGCAGCAGUGGGGAUUAUUGGAUAAUGUGCGAAAGCCUGAUCCAGCCAUGCCGCGUGUGUGAAGAAGGUCUUCGGAUUGUAAAGCACUUUAAGUUGGGAGGCGUUACCAACAGAAUAAGCACCGGCUAACUUCGUGCCAGCAGCCGCGGUAAUUC
rnacentral:rRNA from 1 species